UCGAGAAUAAUUCGCAAUGGACGAAAGCCUGACGAUGCGACGCCGCAUGAACGAUGAAGGCCUUCGGGUUGUAACGUUCUGUUGCCCUAGAACAAGAGUGACUGACGAAUAGGUGGUCACGAUGAGGGUAUAGGGAGAGGAAGCACCGGCUAAUUCCGUGCCAGCAGCCGCGGUAAUACGGGGGGUGCGAGCGUUGUUCGGAAUUAUUGGGCGUAAAGAGGGUGUAGGCGGCUGAAUAAGUCAGAUGUGAAAUCCCUGGGCUUAACCCAGGACGUGCAUUUGAAACUAUUCGGCUAGAGUAGGGGAGAGGAAAGUGGAGUUCCUGGUGUAGAGGUGAAAUUCGUAGAUAUCAGGAGGAACACCAGUGGCGAAGGCGGCUUUCUGGACUGUAACUGACACUGAGGUACGAAAGCGUGGGGAGCAAACA
rnacentral:rRNA from 1 species